CAUCUUUUUGUUACUCUCUCUCUCUUCUCCUCUUUCUUUUCUAAAUCUCUCUCCAAUACUCCGGUUAACUUCUGUUUCUCACUGUCUGUCUGAUCUUCCUAUUUCGUCCCAAAUUUUUCUUCUCUCAGUUCUCUCUCAUGCUAUUUUUUCCAAUGAUCUGCUCUCCCUAUCUUCCUCCUCUCACUGUGUGGGUAUGCUUAUGACGAAG
rnacentral:lncRNA from 1 species